GCAGAGCGUUAAUGGUGGCUGGGCAUUGGUGGGUUGAGUGUCGUGUAGCAUCAGUGUUGAGAAUUUUGAUAUUAUCUCGCCAUAUACUUGGAAUUAGCACUACGAAGGGACGCAGGGAGGAGGAGAGAACAAGGAGUUACCAAUGCAAAGACUGGGCUCUGGAGCGAUCCCGAGUCAACUCUAGUAUCAGGAUCAAGAGAGGGACUCAUUGGACACGUGAACUGCAGUCACAUCACUUAAGUUGACUCGGUGACUCAAUGCUGUUGCUUUUACCCUUUGAAGUGGCUCGCUUAUCGUGAAGGAACUGCUUUUAUUACUGAUAAAACGCCCCACAGAGAGAUAGAGAGGGUAGCCAAGUGGACAUGAACAGUGAAGGUAAUAAUACUGACCAGAGAAGAGAGGGGUCUAAUUAUCGAAUCAAAAGGUGAAGCACCACGCUUGGCAGGAUAACACGGAAUGGCGGCAGGAAGGAAGUUUGAGUCUUUUCAGCUUCCUUGGGGUUGAGUAUGGCCAGUGUAACAGUGUUGCAAGUAAAGGGGAAGCCAGGCCCAGAAACACAUGCAAGGUUGCUGGUGGUGUCGGUCACUGACACCAUUUCUACCAUUACCUCCAGGAAAGGAUGAGUGUGCAGUCUUGUAUGUUCACCUCACAUUUACUACAGUUCGAAGCCGCGCAAUAGGCCGAGGAUCAUUUCACUUUCAGGGUGCAAGUUUUUGUUGUGUAGAGAAUGAAAGUGGACAGAUCAGUUUACGUGGCACUCGCUGCUUGUGGCUCGCGGUCAACAGCCUCAGUGUUGUCAAUAAGAAAUAUAAAAAAGAAUCGAGCUGGCCUGAUUUUGGAAAAAAAACAAAAACAUUUAAAGUAAAGUACACGAUUCCCACACUACCGGUUCGAAGGCAGGACUCAGCAGCUUUCAUUACCCUAAGUAAUUGGAAAGCCUCGAAGUAAAAGGAGGGAAAAAAAUCUCAUUACUCGUAAAUGGAAAGACUUGUCCACGUGUGAGGAGAGGAAAAAAAACACCAAAAAAGUCUCAUAACUGGUUAAUGGAGAGGCUUGUUUAUGUGUACGUGUGAAGAAGAAAAGGACAAAAAAGUAUCUUAUAACUUGUAAAUGAAAGGGAAAGUAAAAAAAGAAAAAUUCAACUCGUAUAAUGAAACUUUUACGUUCGUGUGAAGAAGAAAAAGACACAAAAGUAUGAAAUAACUCUGAAAUGAGAAGGCUUGAGUGCGCCACUUGUGAGGGAAGGAAAAAUAAAUAAAAGAAUCUCAUAAUUUGUAAAUAAUUUUAUUGGACACGUUGGUUGGGGAUGGUGAGAGUGAGGAAGGAGUGCUGGUGAUCUGGGGCAAGGUGGUGGGGAAGGAGGAGGAGAAGGAGGAAGAGAAGGAGGGGGAGGGAGAGAGGGAGGGGAAGGAGGAGAGGGAGGAUCGGGGACUAUAAGCUGUAUGAGGAAAACUUAGCUAAGAAAAUGUAGAAAAAAUAAUAGACAAAUUAAUAAAUAAACAAAUAUUUAAAAAAAAUAUAUGAAUAAAGAGGGCCACAUAGGAAAUAAUGGUACGAAAUGCUAUUAACCAGGUGAAUUCCUACUUUGUAACAGUUGUGUACUUUUAUUUUUCCUCACUAACGUCUAGGUUUAGAAAAGUGGGUAAACGCAAAAAAAAAAAAAACCCUGACUCUAGCUAGAAUUAUAAGUUGUAAAUGCUGUGUGUGUGUGUGUGUGUGUGUGUGUGUGUGUGUGUGUGUGUGUGUGUGCGUGUGUGCAGAGGAGCU